GACGAACGCUGGCGGCGUGCUUAACACAUGCAAGUCGAACGGAAAGGCCCUGCUUGCAGGGUACUCGAGUGGCGAACGGGUGAGUAACACGUGGGUGAUCUGCCCUGCACUUCGGGAUAAGCCUGGGAAACUGGGUCUAAUACCGGAUAGGAGCCAUUUUUAGUGUGAUGGUUGGAAAGUUUUUUCGGUGUAGGAUGAGCUCGCGGCCUAUCAGCUUGUUGGUGGGGUAAUGGCCUACCAAGGCGGCGACGGGUAGCCGGCCUGAGAGGGUGGACGGCCACAUUGGGACUGAGAUACGGCCCAGACUCCUACGGGAGGCAGCAGUGGGGAAUAUUGCACAAUGGGCGAAGCCUGAUGCAGCGACGCCGCGUGGGGGAUGACGGCCUUCGGGUUGUAAACUCCUUUCGCUAGGGACGAAGCUUUUUGUGACGGUACCUAGAUAAGAAGCACCGGCUAACUACGU
rnacentral:rRNA from 1 species